AGCGCACGCAGGCGGUCUGUCAAGUCGGAUGUGAAAUCCCCGGGCUCAACCUGGGAACUGCAUUCGAAACUGGCAGGCUAGAGUCUUGUAGAGGGGGGUAGAAUUCCAGGUGUAGCGGUGAAAUGCGUAGAGAUCUGGAGGAAUACCGGUGGCGAAGGCGGCCCCCUGGACAAAGACUGACGCUCAGGUGCGAAAGCGUGGGGAGCAAACAGGAUUAGAUACCCUGGUAGUCCACGCCGUAAACGAUGUCGAUUUGGAGGUUGUUCCCUUGAGGAGUGGCUUCCGGAGCUAACGCGUUAAAUCGACCGCCUGGGGAGUACGGCCGCAAGGUUAAAACUCAAAUGAAUUGACGGGGGCCCGCACAAGCGGUGGAGCAUGUGGUUUAAUUCGAUGCAACGCGAAGAACCUUACCUACUCUUGACAUCCAGAGAACUUUCCAGAGAUGGAUUGGUGCCUUCGGGAACUCUGAGACAGGUGCUGCAUGGCUGUCGUCAGCUCGUGUUGUGAAAUGUUGGGUUAAGUCCCGCAACGAGCGCAACCCA
rnacentral:rRNA from 1 species